GAUGAACGCUGGCGGCGUGCCUAAUACAUGCAAGUCGAGCGAACGGACGAGAAGCUUGCUUCUCUGAUGUUAGCGGCGGACGGGUGAGUAACACGUGGAUAACCUACCUAUAAGACUGGGAUAACUUCGGGAAACCGGAGCUAAUACCGGAUAAUAUUUUGAACCGCAUGGUUCAAAAGUGAAAGACGGUCUUGCUGUCACUUAUAGAUGGAUCCGCGCUGCAUUAGCUAGUUGGGAAGGUAACGGCUUACCAAGGCAACGAUGCAUAGCCGACCUGAGAGGGUGAUCGGCCACACUGGAACUGAGACACGGUCCAGACUCCUACGGGAGGCAGCAGUAGGGAAUCUUCCGCAAUGGUCGAAAGCCUGACGGAGCAACGCCGCGUGAGUGAUGAAGGUCUUCGGAUCGUAAAACUCUGUUAUUAGGGAAGAACAGAUGUGUAAGUAACUGUGCACAUCUUGACGGUACCUAAUCAGAAAGCCACGGCUAACUACGUG
rnacentral:rRNA from 1 species